rnacentral:rRNA from 1 species
AUUGAACGCUGGCGGCAUGCUUUACACAUGCAAGUCGGACGGCAGCACAGAGAAGCUUGCUUCUUGGGUGGCGAGUGGCGAACGGGUGAGUAACAUAUCGGAACGUACCGAGCAGUGGGGGAUAACUAAUCGAAAGAUUAGCUAAUACCGCAUAUCUUCUGAUGAAGAAAGCAGGGGACCAUUUGUCCUUGCGCUGUUUGAGCGGCCGAUAUCUGUUUCGCUAGUUGGUGGGGUAAAGGGCUACCAAGGCGCCGAUCAGUAGCGGGUCUGAGAGGAGGAUACGCCACACUGGGAGGUGAACACGGCCAAUGCGCCUGCGGGAGGGAGCAGUGGGGAACUUGGGACAAUGGGCGCAAGCCUUAUCCAGCCAGGCCGAGUGUCUGAAGAAGGCCUUGCGGGUGUAAAGGACUUUUGUCAGGUAAGAAAAGGGCGGGGUUGAUACCCCUGUCGGAUGACGGUACCUGAAGAAUAAGCACCGGCUAACUACGUG